rnacentral:lncRNA from 1 species
GCCUCUAAUCCCAGCACUCAGGAGGCAGAGACCAGCCUGGUCUACAGAGUGACAGUCCAGGACAGCCAGGGCUAUAAAGAGAAACCCUGUCUUGAAAAACAAACAAAAAAAAAAAAAAAAAAAAAACCCAAAAACCAAAAAACACCAAAACCAAAACCCCUAAUCUUUAGGGAAAAGAAAAAUGAUAAAAAAGAUUAAAAAAAAAAAAAAAGGUUGAAGAACAACUUAAGACCUGAUGCCUCCAUUUGUCCCUACUCCUGUGCACACAGAUUCACCACGCACAUAUAUACAAAUAAGAAUACAUAGUCCACCUAGUCCAUCCGGAUGACAGUAAGGAUGUAUGGGCUCCACUGCUUUGUCACUAGCUCACUGUGUGAUCUUAAAUACAGAGCUCCCUUCCUUUAAAUGGCUAGGAGAGCUGAAGAGAAGGCUCAGAGCUUAAAGAGCACUGGCUGCUCCUCCAGAUGACUUGGGUUUGAUUCCCAACACCCACAUGAUGGCUUACAACAAUCUGUAUCUGCAGUUCCAGGAGAUUUGAUAUCCUCUUCUGGCCUUCACAGGCACCAGGCACUCACAUGCUAUGUAGACAUACAAUGCAGCAAAGCACCCAUACACAUAAAAUAAACAAAAUCGAGGGAACUGACUCCACAGAGUUGUCCUCUGACCUCUACAUGGCCAUGGCCUGCAUGUGCCCAUGUGCGUGUGUACACACAACAGUGAAUACAGACGGAAAUAGAAGCAAGGGACAUGCAGGUAGAGGGGUGGCACAUAGCUCUGCUGACUCAUUCUGCUGCAGACAUCUCCCAGCAGCAGCAAGGCCCAUCCUCUCACGUCAGAGGGGGACUAAUGUGAGAGCUUUCCUAGUUUGUGUAAGCACAGGUGCUGAUGCAAAGGGCCAGCCCCAGGGCCCCCUCACCUGAUGGAGAUGAGAGAGCAGGGAGCUUGCUCCAGGGCUGCUGGGGCCUGGCAUAGAAAGUGGAUGGCCCAGUUUCCCCUGGCUCCUUUGGAAAAGGCUGGGCUGCUGAGGCCUUGUAGCCCUGGACCUAUAGAUGGGACACUGGGUUAGAGCUUCGUAUGUUUUCAUCUUUCUCACUUCCCAGUCUACGCUUCGGUGUGCCUUGCUGCCUGUGCAAGCUUGGGAGAGGCCGUGUGCCUUCUUCAUAGCCUGCAGCCUGCCUGCCUUCAUUCCUACCAGGCUGUCUAUCCAGAAAUA